rnacentral:rRNA from 1 species
GGCGAACGCUGGCGGCGUGCUUAACACAUGCAAGUCGAACGGAAAGGCCCUGCUUUUGUGGGGUGCUCGAGUGGCGAACGGGUGAGUAACACGUGAGUAACCUGCCCUUGACUUUGGGAUAACUUCAGGAAACUGGGGCUAAUACCGGAUAGGAGCUCCUGCUGCAUGGUGGGGGUUGGAAAGUUUCGGCGGUUGGGGAUGGACUCGCGGCUUAUCAGCUUGUUGGUGGGGUAGUGGCUUACCAAGGCUUUGACGGGUAGCCGGCCUGAGAGGGUGACCGGCCACAUUGGGACUGAGAUACGGCCCAGACUCCUACGGGAGGCAGCAGUGGGGAAUAUUGCACAAUGGGCGGAAGCCUGAUGCAGCAACGCCGCGUGCGGGAUGACGGCCUUCGGGUUGUAAACCGCUUUCGCCUGUGACGAAGCGUGGGUGACGGUAACGGGUAAAGAAGCACCGGCUAACUACGUG